GCUGCGAUGGCCGAGUGGUUAAGGCGUUGGACUCGAAAUCCAAUGGGAUAUUCCCGCGCACGUUUUGAAUUCUGUUCGCAGCG
rnacentral:tRNA from 1 species